GGUGGGCUAUAGUCCAUGGGGAUAGCUUAUGGUGAACAAUGUCAGAUUCAUGAUCACUGAAGAAGAUUUAGCUUUGGGACCAGGGACCAAGCUUGGUCACUCAAGAGGUUUUGUGUAACAGAGUUUUAUUAAAGUAAGAAAAGGGGCAGACAAAGCUUCUGACAUAGACAUCAGAAGGAGGAUGGAGAAUGCCCCCCUUCCUGGUGUUAGCAAGGGAGUUAUAUACUUUUU